GCCACAGUGAGGGAUCAAGGAGGCCUUGGAACUUGUGUGCAGUCCUCCCCCGACAGGUAUCACAGCUCCCACCCCCAGAAGUUGAAUACCUGUUCCUGGGCCGCCUCUAUCCUCUACCUGCCGCAGGUAUGAACUUGCCUUCAGACACGUGUCCUUGGACCCUAUGACCAACGCUGGACUCGCAGUUCACACAGGGAGGAGGAAAGUGCAGAGAGAAGCAGGCUUAACGGGAACAUACCCACUGGAGGCACGGAACACACAUGUGCCUGGAGACCACACGUGAGCACUCCGAGAUGGGAACACCUGGAACGUCAAUCAUAACUAAAUAGAUCGCAGUAUGUUCAUUCAGUGGGACGCUCCACAGCAGGGGUUGACAAACGUGUUCUGUAAAGGGCCAGGGAGUAAAUAUUUUCCGCUUUGUGAGCCAUAUGGUCUCUAUCUCAGCUACUCUGCUCUGCUGUUGUGGGGGCAAAAGCAGCCAUAAAUGAGCCAUGAAUGGAUAGGCAUGGCUGUGUUCCAAUAAAACUUUAUUUAUGGACACGGAAAUGGGAACACAGU